GAUGAACGCUGGCGGCGUGCCUAAUACAUGCAAGUCGAGCGAACAGACGAGGAGCUUGCUCCUCUGCCGUUAGCGGCGGACGGGUGAGUAACACGUGGAUAACCUACCUAUAAGACUGGGAUAACUUCGGGAAACCGGAGCUAAUACCGGAUCAUAUAUUGAACCGCAUGGUUCAAUAGUGAAAGACGGUUUUGCUGUCACUUAUAGAUGGAUCCGCGCCGCAUUAGCUAGUUGGUAAGGUAACGGCUUACCAAGGCAACGAUGCGUAGCCGACCUGAGAGGGUGAUCGGCCACACUGGAACUGAGACACGGUCCAGACUCCUACGGGAGGCAGCAGUAGGGAAUCUUCCGCAAUGGGCGAAAGCCUGACGGAGCAACGCCGCGUGAGUGAUGAAGGUCUUCGGAUCGUAAAACUCUGUUAUUAGGGAAGAACAAAUGUGUAAGUAACUAUGCACGUCUUGACGGUACCUAAUCAGAAAGCCACGGCUAACUACGUG
rnacentral:rRNA from 1 species